rnacentral:rRNA from 1 species
UCCGGUUGAUCCUGCCGGACCCCACUGCUAUCGGGGUGGGACUAAAACAUGCGAGUCGAGCGCCUUCAAGCUAUGGUGAAGGCGCGGCGAACGGCUCAGUAACACGUGGCUAACCUACCCUUUGGACGGGGACAACCCCGGGAAACUGGGCCUAAUCCCCGAUAGAUGAGGAGGCCUGGAAUGGUUUCUCAUCUAAAGGUGUUUAGACCAUGCUUCUAGGCGUCGCCAAAGGAUGGGGCCGCGGCCGAUCAGGUUGUUGGUGAGGUAACGGCUCACCAAGCCUAUAACCGGUACGGGCCGUGAGAGCGGGAGCCCGGAGAUGGGCACUGAGAUAAGGGCCCAGGCCCUACGGGGCGCAGCAGUUGCGAAAACUCCGCAAUGCGCGAAAGCGUGACGGGGCUACCCCGAGUGCCGUCCGCUGAGGACGGCUUUUCCACGGUGUAAGGAGCCGUGGGAAUAAGGAGAGGGCAAGUCUGGUGUCAGCCGCCGCGGUAAUACCAGCUCUCCGAGUGGUGGGGAUGAUUAUUGGGCUUAAAGCGUUCGUAGCCGGCCCGGCAAGUCCUCCGUUAAAUCCAGCGAUCUAAUCGUUGGACUGCGGGAGAUACUGUUGGGCUAGGGGGCGGGAGAAGCCGACGGUAUUCUCGGGGUAGGGGUGAAAUCCUAUAAUCCCGGGAAGACCACCAGUGGCGAAGGCGGUCGGCUAGAACGCGCCCGACGGUGAGGGACGAAAGCUGGGGGAGCGAACCGGAUUAGAUACCCGGGUAGUCCCAGCUGUAAACGAUGCGGGCUAGGUGUUGGGGCGGCCACGAGCCGCUUCAGUGCCGCACGGAAGCAAUUAAGCCCGCCGCCUGGGGAGUACGGCCGCAAGGCUGAAACUUAAAGGAAUUGGCGGGGGAGCACCACAAGGCGUGAAGC